rnacentral:tRNA from 1 species
GAGGGUAGAGCUCAAGCGGUAGAGCACAUGCUUAACAUGCAUGAGGUCUGGGGUCCAAUCCCUAAUACCUCCA